rnacentral:lncRNA from 1 species
UUGCUGUUGGAAUAGCAACCGUUAAGUUUGGGGUAGCUUUGCAGUACGUGAAUAGUAAGUGAAUGUCGUAUAAAAGAAAAAAAAAGAGAAAAAGAAAAAAAAAAGGAAAAACAACAACAACAUGAAAAGAAAGAAAGAGAAAAGCGAAAAACAAUAAAAGAACAGCUUUUGAAAAAUGCUACAUUCACUAUAGAUAAAAGGAAAAGAGGAUUGCAAGACCCUACAGGAAUAAUAGGAAAGAAACGUAGUGAGAGAAUGAUUUCAUGUACUCUGAACCAAAAGACCCAAAAANNNN